AUACGAAGGGGGCUAGCGUUGUUCGGAAUUACUGGGCGUAAAGCGCGUGUAGGCGGAUCGUUAAGUCAGGGGUGAAAGCCCGGGGCUCAACACCGGAACUGCCCUUGAUACUGGCGAUCUAGAGUCCGGAAGAGGUGGGCGGAAUUCCCGGUGUAGAGGUGAAAUUCGUAGAUAUCGGGAGGAACACCAGUGGCGAAGGCGGCUCACUGGUCCGGUACUGACGCUGAGACGCGAAAGCGUGGGGAGCAAACAGGAUUAGAUACCCUAGUAGUCC
rnacentral:rRNA from 1 species